rnacentral:rRNA from 1 species
CUGCAGUCGAACGCCGUAGCAAUACGGAGUGGCAGACGGGUGAGUAACGCGUGGGAACAUACCCUUCGGUUCGGAAUAACUCAGGGAAACUUGGGCUAAUACCGGAUACGUCCGCGAGGAGAAAGAUUUAUCGCCGAAGGAUUGGCCCGCGUCUGAUUAGCUUGUUGGUGAGGUAAUGGCUCACCAAGGCGACGAUCAGUAGCUGGUCUGAGAGGAUGAUCAGCCACAUUGGGACUGAGACACGGCCCAAACUCCUACGGGAGGCAGCAGUGGGGAAUAUUGGACAAUGGGCGCAAGCCUGAUCCAGCCAUGCCGCGUGAGUGAUGAAGGCCCUAGGGUUGUAAAGCUCUUUUACCCGGGAAGAUAAUGACGGUACCGGGAGAAUAAGCCCCGGCUAACUUCGUGCCAGCAGCCGCGGUAAUACGAAGGGGGCUAGCGUUGUUCGGAAUCACUGGGCGUAAAGCGCACGUAGGCGGAUCUUUAAGUCAGGGGUGAAAUCCCGGGGCUCAACCUCGGAACUGCCUUUGAUACUGGGGAUCUCGAGUCCGGGAGAGGUGAGUGGAACUGCGAGUGUAGAGGUGAAAUUCGUAGAUAUUCGCAAGAACACCAGUGGCGAAGGCGGCUCACUGGCCCGGUACUGACGCUGAGGUGCGAAAGCGUGGGGAGCAAACAGGAUUAGAUACCCUGGUAGUCCACGCCGUAAACGAUGGAUGCUAGCCGUUAGGCAGCUUGCUGCUUAGUGGCGCAGUUACGCUUAACAUCCCGCCUGGGGAUACGGUCGCAGAUUAAACUCAAGGAAU